rnacentral:rRNA from 1 species
UGCCAGCAGCCGCGGUAAUACGAAGGGUGCUAGCGUUGUUCGGAAUUACUGGGCGUAAAGCGCACGUAGGCGGAUUUGUAAGUCGAUUGUGAAAGCCCCGGGCUCAACCUGGGAAUUGCAGUCGAAACUACAAGUCUUGAAUGCCUGAGGGGUUGGUGGAAUUCCAGGUGUAGGAGUGAAAUCCGUAGAUAUCUGGAGGAACACCGGAGGCGAAGGCGGCCAACUGGCAGUGCAUUGACGCUGAGGUGCGAAAGCGUGGGGAGCAAACAGGAUUAGAUA